UCCCUGAUGACUCAGUGGUAAAGAAUCUGCCUGCCAAUGCAGAAGACACAGGUUUGAUCCCUGAUCUAGGAA
rfam:TPA: Bos taurus chromosome 8, whole genome shotgun sequence.